rnacentral:rRNA from 1 species
UACAGAGGUCUCAAGCGUUGUUCGGAUUCAUUGGGCGUAAAGGGUGCGUAGGCGGCGAGGCAAGUCUGGUGUGAAAUCCCGGGGCUCAACUCCGGAACUGCACUGGAUACUGCUUUGCUAGAGUACUGGAGAGGGAACUGGAAUUUACGGUGUAGCAGUGAAAUGCGUAGAUAUCGGGAGGAACACCUGUGGCGAAAGCGGCUCUCUGGACCACAACUGACGCUGAGGCACGAAAGCGUGGGGGAGCGAACGAGG